rnacentral:lncRNA from 1 species
GUUCUACAUAUGAGAGACUCCUCAACCCUCCCCCUACCGAAACCCCCACUUUCCCUGUCAUGAUGUCUGGAGCUACUACACUACUUAAACCUGGGAGUGAAAAGACAGACGGUUCCUGUUUAGUAUAAGUGAGUGCCCUUGGAGAUUGAACACAGAUGUGGGAGUGUUGGCACGCUCCCUAGCAGGCUGAGCCACAGGGGGGCAGCAGAGGGCUAUGUUCUGAGCCAGGGCAGCCUGUGGGUGCCAGUCCCUGCAUCCCCAUCCUCUCCUGCCUGAGCCCCUCCGGAAGUCUGGCUGGAGUAAUUAGUGACCUGAUCCAGUCCGAAAGCCUGGAAUUUGUUGCUCCUAUCUCCAGUUAGCCCAUUUUCUAAGAGGGUUAUCCAGUUUUACUCGUUUGUUUAUUCGUUCAUUCUUUCAUUCAUUCAUUCUUCAUGUCCUUGCCUUCUGUAUUCUGGGCACAAUUCCAGGCACUGAGUCUAUGCAAACAUAUUUGACUGAGCCCUCUUAUUGAGUCCCAGCCAGCCUAGUGUUGGAGGCAGAGUGACUUAGGAGAAAGGGCACAGGCAGAGGGCAAAGACUACCUGGGUCCAGCCUUGCCUUACUAUGCCCUUACUUAGCCACAGGACCUUGAGCAAAUUACCCCUAGAUUCUUGAAGAUCCUGGACACUUCCUGGUUCCUCACACCUCCCUGCCAUCCCAGGGAAAACAUCUCACCUGUGUUUACUCUGAUCCACAGCAGUAACAAUGUCCACUAUUAAGUUUCUGACGACUUCAUGAGGUAAGGGUGUUAGAAUGCUUACUGCACCCCUUAACUCAGGGUAGGAGCUCAAGUCAUGCCUUGAAUCAGCUGGCAUUUAUUAAGUAUCUUCUAUGUGCCUGACAGGCCCUGGUACGGCAGCGGUGACCAAGACAGAGGACCUGCCCUGAUGGUAAUUAUAUUCCAGAAUGAAAGCGGAACAAUGAGCAAGUACAAGAAAGUAUGUGAUUUGUCAGAUGGUGAUAUGUGCUAUGGAGACAGAGUAAAGCCGAGUCAGGCAGAAGGGGAGGAAAAUCAUUACUGUUAUUAUUACAAUGUAUGUUUACAGGUUCGCCCAGGCUAUCCAAAGCAACUCCGGUGCCCAGCUAAUGGUCCCCCAAGUAGUCUUAUGGAUAUUCCUAGAUGUUAUAUUAAGGGCUGGCUACAAUCCUGCAUUGGUGGCCUUAGAUCAGGCCAUGGCACAUUUUUAGUAACUCCCAUCCAGGCCCGCUUGGUGCCAUGCAGACUCCUCUGUGAUGUCCCUCUCACUCCCAUCUUGUACCUGAUCAUCAAAGAAGCCUCUGAUGCCCUGACUGCAACGAGAAUUUUAAGCAAGUAG